AGUGAACGCUGGCGGCAGGCCUAACACAUGCCAGUCGAACGGCAGCACAAGAGAGCUUGCUCUCUGGGUGGCGAGUGGCGGACGGGUGAGGAAUGCAUCGGAAUCUGCCCAUUUGUGGGGGAUAACCUCGGGAAACCGGGACUAAUACCGCAUACGACCUACGGGUGAAAGCAGGGGAUCUUCGGACCUUGCGCAGAUGGAUGAGCCGAUGCCGGAUUAGCUAGUUGGAGGGGUAAAGGCCCACCAAGGCGACGAUCCGUAGCUGGUCUGAGAGGAUGAUCAGCGACACUGGAACUGAGACACGGCCCAGACUCCUACGGGAGGCAGCAGUGGGGAAUAUUGGACAAUGGGCGCAAGCCUGAUCCAGCCAUGCCGCGUGUGUGAAGAAGGCCUUCGGGUUGUAAAGCACUUUUGUUGGGAAAGAAAAGCAGCCGGUUAAUACCCGGUUGUCAUGACGGUACCCAAAGAAUAAGCACCGGCUAACUUCGUG
rnacentral:rRNA from 1 species